rnacentral:pre_miRNA from 1 species
CGGCGGCCGGGAAAGGUGGGCUGGGCUCCGGGGCCCCUCCCCGCCCGGUGCUGCCCCGGCCGCUCCCGGCCUUGUG